GAAGGGCAUAGCUCAGUGGUGGAGCAUGCAGAAGGUUCCAGGUUCAAUUCCUGGCAACUUCA
rnacentral:tRNA from 1 species